CAAGCACCUCGGUAGGUGAGGCGUCUGCAUGGAUACAGGCCACUGACCCCGAACGUCGAGAGACGCCCCGGGUCAGGACAGCUCUUCCCGGACCCAAGGGUUGAGCCCAAGUGGCUUCUGGAACGUUCCGGAUACGCCGUGCAGUGCCGAAGCUCCGACGAGAGGGGUGCGAC
rfam:Mycobacterium sp. MOTT36Y, complete genome.